AAGAAAACAUAACGAAAAUGCAUAAGAACUAGCUAACUAAGGCGCAUAAAUAUGCUCCUAUCAUGAAUUCCUUUUGAUCAAUGUGUGCGGGAAAUAAGUGUGGGGGAAGGAUUAGUAAUAUGGGGAUGUGCCAAAGUCUUGAAUGAGGCACGGCAAAGAAGAGAAAAAAAUGAGAAAAGAAAAAAUUCGUGAAAAAUAGAAAGAAAAAAAGAAAAGUUGUGAAAAACAUGCAAAAUAGUUGAAAUGCAUGUGAAAAAGAGUUCCAAAGUGUUGGUUGUUGAAGAAAGGGUCCAAAGAGUUGCAUGAGGCACGGCCCUAAUUGAUUGUUUGAGCCUUCCCUUCUGUUUUGAAAUUGAUUUCGGCAUGCUAAAGUGAAUUCUAAGUUUCGAGUUCCAUACUUUGCUUACUAUUGUUUUUAAGAACGUUUGUUUUCCAUAUCCGUUUUUGUUAGCCAAUACCUUAAGCCCCGUUACAACCCUUGACUUUAAUCUUGAGUGUUGUGUAUUUCAAUUUGUGGAGUUUGAAAUUGGUUUGAGCAUAUGGUGUCAUUGGUUUGCGCAUCUAAGUAGUAGCAUUCCAUUCAUGAGAUCAUAUUUUAUAAAACAUGUUAUUAACUCCGGAAAUUGCUCCCUUUGUCAUACAUAUAUGUGAGCAUUCGUUUUUAUUCUUACAUCAAUCUUCUCACAUAUAACUAGUGUAGGGUGUGUAGUUAGAAAAUCUGAGUGAAAAUAGAGUGCAUAUCUAGUAAGGAAUUGAGGGAUUCUCUAAGGCAUGUUACUACAUUCAAAACAUUGUUUUAAUUGGUUAAAUGUGAACUAGUAAGUAGUGACUACGAUUAAGUAUGUGCUUAAGUGUAAAGAUGGCUAAAAACUGUGGGAAUGAUGAUUUUUAACAUGUCAUGUGCAUUGGAAAUCCCUGAGGCGAUUGUUGGAAGGUUUAGGUUGUUUUACUUGUUUUAUUUCGUUUUGUUCUUUUGUUUCGUUUUGUUUUGCUCGAGGACUAGCAAAAGCUAAGUGUGGGGGAAUUUGAUAGGAGCAUAUUUAUGCGCCUUAGUUUAGCUUGUUCUUGUGCAUUUAUAGUGUUUUUCCUUAGUAAAGUAGUCUUUUAAGCUAGUUUUAUGUGUUUUCAGGUUCUAAGGGAAAAAUAUGAAAAAUGAUGCAUUUUGGAGCCUUUUGGAGCAAAGUUGAGCUUGGAAUGGAUGUCAUAUGCUUGGAGCCAAGAGGAUGG
rnacentral:lncRNA from 1 species